rnacentral:misc_RNA from 1 species
ACGGGCACGGCCAGCAC